ACAAAUAUUGAAAAGGAAGUGUAGCUAAAUAUAUGAGUUAUACUUUUUAAAAAAAUAGAGAGGUAAUUCAAGAAAUGAUAAAAUAUACAACAUACACGAAGAGGUUAUGUUUAUGUUUUGUCUACAUUCCAUAUAGAAAAUAAGCUAGUUAUAAAAAUAUUUAAUUCAUUUUCAAUAAUUAAUUGAUAUACUUGAUUGACAUUUUAAAAGGACCUAUAGAGGUAAGGGUACUCAUACAAUGUGAGGCAUGUGAUGUGAGGUGUGCUUUGGUCUCGAAAUAUUGGAAUGAAGAUUUUAAAUACUAACAUGCAUAUUUAAUCCAAUAUCAAUUAUAUUACCAUAAAUCUUAUAUAAUUAAAAAAUAGAAAAAUAUGUGAUGAUUUGAAGCCAACUAAUACAUUAAUAUAGGAAAAUUCCACAAAGAAUAAUGAGAAUGAAUUUAGGAUCUACUUUUCAACUACAUCUGAACCAUGUGUAAUAUGAGUGUAAUGGUAAUGUCAAAAUGUAAUCAUACUAUUUAUCUUAGAGCCACAAAAAAAAUUGGAAAAUUUUUUAUUGAAUUCAAUUUAACAGUUAAUAUUUAUAAGAUGAAAUAGUGGAUUUUAAUUUAAUAAAAGUAUAAUAGUUUUCUUUUGUCAGGUGAGUAAUUGAUGCCUACAAGUUUUAGAAACAUGUACAAACAUUAGUAUAUAUCGUUCAGA